CACCGGGAGAAAUCCCGCAGGGCUCUGGGCGGAGCUUAAGUCUCAGGACCCUGGGAGCAGGGAUCCAUCAGGGGUUUCCAAGGUGGGCCGGGGCUCACCUCGCUGUUGGCUGCCCGAACAGUGGACACCUCCUUGUGGAGUUUAUCCAGCUCGGCCUGGAGCUGCUGCAGCUGCUGCCCCUGGGAGCGCACGCGCUCGUGGUACUCACUGGAGGUGGGAGGUGGGCGCCGUGGGGUUGGCUCCCUGUCCCCCUGGACACCUCCCAAAGGCCCCCACGCCUUCAAGGUUCUCAAAGAAGCAACUUUGAGCCCCCCAAUUUCCCACCCUAGGUGCCCUCUUUCACCUUAGAGUCAGCAUCUCCUUAGGUUCCUGUUGGAUGAAGGGACAAAACACAGAGCCGCUCAGCUCCCGUCGUCCUUGCUCCUACCUCAGCCUGGAAACGGCCAGGGCUUCCUUUUUGAAGACUGUGUCCCCUUUCCUCGACUCCUCCUUGACCUCCCAGUAUCAGAGCCCCCAAGAGACCCUCAAGCACAAUCCCUCAUAAGUCUGUUUAUAUCCAGCCCUUUCUUAAGGAUUGUAGCCUCUGGCACUACCCCCACCCCAGCAGACCGACAGUCCAGGGGACCCCCACAAUCUCCGGGUUCACAACCUGCCAACCCCCUACCCCAAGACAGUCUCCCCAACUCACAUUCUCCAAAGGAGAGACCAGGUACAGAAGCCCCAGCCAGAAUGCUGGAGAAAGAGAGGGAGGGGUCUCAGAAGGAAAAGGAAGAGAAUGGGUUUCCCCGGCAUAGGGGGACAGUGGAAAGAGGCUUGAGGGGGUUAAGCCUGGGGAGGACCGUGGGAGUCUGAGGGGGAAUUAGGGGGUUCUGCAGGGGAAUGCCAGGAGCUGCAGGACCGAGGAUGUAGGAGAAAAUGUGCUGGGUUUGCCUCCAAAGCACCCAGGGCAGGGGCUCCAGGGAAUUCACUGCCCCUCACCUGACAGAAAGAGGCUCAGCAGCGACACAGCCGUGAACAGGAAGCGGAUGGAACAGACCUCCCUGGGGAACCGGAGGGAGGCUGAGGCCCCGACCUGCUCAACCCUCCAGUCCCCACCCCAGGGUCCUAGACCCAGCUCUUG
rnacentral:lncRNA from 1 species